rnacentral:rRNA from 2 species
GACACGACUCUCGGCAACGGAUAUCUCGGCUCUCGCAUCGAUGAAGAACGUAGCAAAAUGCGAUACCUGGUGUGAAUUGCAGAAUCCCGCGAACCAUCGAGUUUUUGAACGCAAGUUGCGCCCGAAGCCUUCUGGCGGAGGGCACGUCUGCCUGGGCGUCACGC